UCUUCUCGUGAAUGUCGCUCU
rnacentral:piRNA from 1 species